GGCUGCGUAGCUCAGCUGGCCAGAGCAUUCGGUUCAUACCCGAAGGGUCGGGGGUUCGACUCCCUCCGCCGCCACCA
rnacentral:tRNA from 1 species